UACGGGGGGGGGCAAGCGUUGUUCGGAAUUACUGGGCGUAAAGGGCGCGUAGGCGGCCUACUAAGUCGGACGUGAAAUCCCUCGGCUCAACCGGGGAACUGCGUCCGAUACUGGUGGGCUCGAAUCCGGGAGAGGGAUGUGGAAUUCCAGGUGUAGCGGUGAAAUUCGUAGAUAUCGGGAGGAACACCAGUGGCGAAGGCGGGUAGCUGGGCCGACACUGACGCUGAGGCGCGAAAGCCAGGGGAGCGAACGGG
rnacentral:rRNA from 1 species